UAAAUAAACAUUAAAAAAAAUUUAUAUAAAAAAAAAAUGUCUCAGCAUUGCCAAAUGUCUCCUGAGAGGCAAAAUUGCCUGAGGUUCAGAACCACUGCUUUAGGCUGCCAAUUAUUUUUUGGAACAAUUAAAAAUAUGAUAAAAUGUAUUUUUUAUAUUUUACUUUAAUUUUAACUAUUUCUGGAGAUCUUCAUCUGUGUAGAUGCAAGUUCUGUUUGGUAUCAUAUUCUUUCUGUUGGAGGUUUUUUUUUUGUUUUCUUUUUUUUUUUUUUAAGUUUAUUUUGAGAGAGCUUAGAAGCAGGGAAGGGGUGUAGGGAAGGGACAGAGAGAGAGGAGAGAGAAUCCCAAGCAGGCUCUCCACUGUGAUGAGAGGCUUAAACCAUGAACUAUGAGAUCAUGACCUGAGCCAAAAUCAAGAGUUGGAGGCUUAACAGACUGAGCCAUCCAGGUGCCCCUGGAGAAGGUUGUUUUGACCUUUAUUUUAGUGCAGGUCUAUUGAUAAUAAAUUUUCUUGUUGUUUUUUUGUUUGUUUUGUUGUUCUGUCUAUCUUUUAAAGUCUAUUUUUCCAUCAUAUCUGAAAGAUAUUUUCCCUGGGCACAGUAUUCUGGACUAACAGUAUUUUUCAUUAAUGUUUUACAGGUAUUAACUCCACUAUAUUCUGAGUUGCAUAGUUUCUAAGCCAGCUGUAAUUCUUUGUUUCUCUGUAAUGUGUCUUUUUCUCUGGCUACCUUUAAGAUUUUCUCUUGACUUUUCAGCAGUUUGAAAAAAAAUGUAUUGGGGUGUGUAUUUUUUGGUAUUUAUCCUACUUGGGACUCAGUGAGCUUUUUGUAUCUGUGGUUUGGUAUAUUUUAUUAUUUUUGGAAGAUUCAGCCAUUCUUUCUUCAAAUGUUUCUUCUGCUAUCUCUCUCCUGGAAUUCCAAAUACACUUUUAUUAGACUGUUUGGUAUUACCCUACAACACUUUUGUGUUUUCUUCACACUUUUUUCUCUUUGUAUUUUAGUUUGGGUAAUUUCUAUUACACAGCUUCAAGUUCAUGCUUUCCAAGUUCAUGUUGUAUCAAGUGUACUGAUGGGCUUUUGAAGGUAUUUUUCAUCUCUGUUACUGUGUUUUCUAUUAGCAUUUCCAUUUGACAUACAUAGUUUUUAUCUCUACUGAAAUUUUCUGUAUGAUCAUUCCUGUUAUCUACUUUUUCCACUAGACUCUUCAAUAUAUAUGAUUAAUAUAUUAAAGUUAUGUCAAAUCCCUCUCAUAGUUCCAACACUUAGGUUAUCUCUGAGCCUCAUUCUGUUGACUCUUCUCUCUUGACAAUGGGUUGUUUUCCUUAUGUGUCUCAUAAUUUUCUAUCCAAUGGUAGGCAUCUUGUAUAGAACAGUAGAAAUUAAGAUAGUGAUGACUCAAGUAAGUAUGUUUCUUCUUCUGCUCAAUCAGUCAUGUGGGGUAUUGAAUCAGUCAGUGGUUGACCUGGGUUUGGGUUUUCUUGUUGUACCUUCAGUGCACCAUUGGUUUCAAUUUCCUCUAGUGUUACCUUAUAUUUAAGAUGUGGGAUGGAAGGCUAAAGGGAGUUUCUCAACAUUCCUUUUCCACUCUCAGCUUCUAGCCUUCCUUUUAACCUGCAAAAAAAAAAAAAAAAAAAAAAAAGCCUGCCUCCAUGCUUUUGCCUUUCUGCCUUCUUGUAACCUGCUGCUUGAUAGCUUGGUAGUGGGAGCCAGAGGACCAAUCAUCCUGGUCCAGCCUCUCUUAAGCAAGUCUUAUAUGUUUAGGCCUUGCAGGUGGGGCUUCCUCAACUCCUCAGUCUCCCCAUGGCAGACAGAAUUCUACUUUGCAUCUUUGAUGAGUCUUUUUUUUUUUUUGUACAUUUAUUCAUUUUUGAGAGACAGAGAGAGACAGAGCACAAGCAGGGGAGGGGCAGAGAGAGAGGGAGACACAGAAUCUGAAGCAGGCUCCAGGCUCCGAGUUGUCAGCACAGAGCCCAACGCAGGGUUUGAACCCACAAACUGCGAGAUCAUGACCUGAGCCCAAGUCGGACGCACAACCGAGCCACCCAGGCACCCCUACAUCUUUGAUGAGUCUUAAGAUAAGAGUCUCCUGAUUCCUGUAAUUGUAUUGGCAUGAGAUUUUGAGCCCAAGACCAUUUCCUAUCCCUCCUUAUCCAGGUAUAGAAGCUCUUUGUCUUCUCGUACUCUUGCCCUUACCCAAUAUCAAGGGUCCUCUACCUGAGCCCAGGAGACAACAGUUUGCUUCCCCUUUCCCAGCGGCUUGCAGCUAUCAUUCAUAGGAAGGGUAUGGCAGGACUUUUGUCCUUCCCAUAGUGGGAGCUUACUCUGCUCCAGCAAGGCCUUCACCUCCAAGGGAGGCUGUAUAUGGUCUCCUGCCUUGUCCCCAGUUUUUCUCAUCAGCAUCCAGUGACAAGAGGCUGUAAGUGGAAAUGCAAACAAGCUCCUUUUUGCCUGAGGGGUUUCUAAACAUUAUUGCUUGUCCUCACUUGGCCUUUAGCAAUGUGUUAACAAUUUUAGUUGAAUUCUUACCACCCUGUAUAGUAGUUGAUAUCUCUUCUUCAGUGCUCACAUCCUAUCUCUCUUUGGUGAGGCCAGUCUUUUCUUGGCUCUCAGGCUACUUGCUUGGUCUGCAACACUUGCUAGGGUGUCACAUCAUCCCAAUUUGUGUGGUACUGAGAGUUUUCCAAGAAUAGGACUUACAGUACUAAAACCAGGAAAAGUUCAGUUGGUCACCCUAACUUCAGCUUCCCAACAGGUUCAAGAAAAGCUUUUCUCUAGUUUUUCUAGGUGUUUAGGUAAGAAUGAUGUUCUUUCUGGAUUUAUUUUAGAGAGAAUGUGCGUGCCUAUGCAUGAGAGCAGUGGGAAGGGCAGAGAGAGAGAGCGAGAGAAUCUUAAGCAGGCUCCACACUCAGCAUGGAUCCCAUCAAUCCCAUGACCCUAAGAUCAUGACCUGAGCCAAAUUCAAGAGUUGGAUGCUUAACUGACUAAGCCACCCAAGCGCCCCCUUCUUUCUAGAUUUCUACAUCCUAGGUAGAAGACGAAUUAGUGAAAUGCUUAUGCAUGUUGAAUCUGAACAAAAAUGGUUCUUGAGAUAGUAAAAAGCCAUAUGGGUAAACAUCUGUUUCUUACUAAGGCAGAAGGGUUUUUGUGAAAUCUUCCCUAAAGUAGAGAAUAAACAAAAUUAGUUUAGUCUCUGUCAUUAUUUUGUCUGUUGACAACAAAUUUAUCUGAUAACCUAAAUAAACUCUAGCUGAAGAGGUAGAUUCACACAUACUAUUUUUCUUUAUAAGUCUACUCAACAUUCAGCUAGCACCAGAUUUGAACUUUACUUCCAGCAGGUGAGUAUCUCCCAUAGAUUUUUUAGUGACACUAUAAAAAAAAAAUCUUUAUGCCCUUUUGUGGAGGAGCAGGAAGAAGGCUGAAUAGGCUUUUAUCAAGAAUGUUGACCACCUCUGGGUAAAUGUGUAUGUAUAUGUAUAUAUGUGUGUAUAAUCUUGCUAUCAACUGUCUGGGAACAUACCUGAUUUACGUUGCCAUUGGUGGUACAUCUCGUCUUGUGGUUUUUAUUUCAGAUAUUUAUGGGAGCCCAGGAGUGUGUGUGACCCCUACAGCCAGCACUAAUGAGUAUGGUAGGGAACCUCAAAGCCAUGCUCUGUAUUUUGUGUGAUGGUGAAGGCUCUGUCAUUUGCUCAGUUACUCCUUUGAAUAUCCAAGAGAAAUACUUAUGGCCGCUAGAUAAACUUGUAGGCUGUAUAUAGGAUAUCUUAAUAUGUCAAUAGUUUGAUUAGUAUAAUAAAAACAGCACAGAAACCAUAAGACAUAAUAAACACAGCACAGAAAUCGUAAGACUAGGAGCAUGUGUAACCUCAACAGCUGUGGGGUUUAUAUGGCUGUAGAUAUGAUAAUAGCUGAGAUGUACAGUGUUUGUCAUGUGUCAAGCGUUGUCAUAGAGGUUUACAUCUAUAAAUAUAUUGCGUCAUCACAUGUAGAAACUUCAUAACAAUCCUAUGACUUUAGGUAUUAUUAUCCACAUAUUACAGAUUAGGAAAAGAGGAACAAAGAGGUUUGGUAAUGUGUUCAAGAUCACAAUGAACAAAUGAUGACUUAAGCCCAUGUAGUCUGUUUCCAGAGUUCUUUUAACCACUGAAAAUGAUCAAAGACAAAGAAGAGGAGAGCCUUCCAUUUAUCAUCCCUUUUAAACGUAGCCUUUGUGUAGGCUAUCCAGCUUCUGGACUUUGCCUGGUUUUUUAUUCAGUACCAUGAUUUACCAUCCCUCAAUUGUUAUAGAAUAAAGGGAGAUGCUAGACAUGGAACAGGCAUCUUGCAACAAUACAACCAUGUGAGAAAAGCCAAGUGAAAAGCUUGGGUCACAUCUGAAAAGACUGGGUGAACAGGACACAUAGGCACUGUGUGUGAACUCAAAACUGCAUAAUUUUUGCACACUGCCACCAUCCCUGCUGCCUUAGGUUGUAAAGAAAACAAAUCCCUUUGUGUACAACAGAUCUGUACUGCUCUUGUAUCUCUAACACUGUUUGCAGGAGGACUGUGCUGCCAUAAUUUACUCUUACCAUCUGCGACUUAGACAUUUUUUUACACCUAAAUUCUUUAAAAAAUAGCCGUGUGUACCUCUUUGCUGUAAGUUCAAAACUUGACAUUUCUUAUCAAUGGAAGGUCUAAGAUCCUCCAGUGGAGUACAGGUAUACAAUUCGAAAACAAUUCGGUUGACAAUAAGUUCGUUAAUUUUGACAAUUAGACUUUAAAAAUUAGUACCACAGAUAUUUUAGAAUAGUAGUACUAUAAAUGUACCAUGAAAUGGUUUUGUAACACAUUACCAAUUUUAAAUGUGUAGAUCCAUAUUUUAAGUUUUGUGGAGAUGAAUUACUCUCUUUUUAGAUCCCUAUUUAUUUUCAGCCAGUCAUUCCAGCUUUGUAUUAUUUGUAAUAGUGAAACACCGAAACAGGUUCAGACCUAAAAAUAUAAAGGGUUAUUGCAACAGCUUACGGAGUUACAUAAAAGUUAUGGAUUACUUAAUUGUGGCCACAAAAUAAAAUCUACAACUCCCUCAGUUUACAGAAAGAUCACUUCUGUAUGCACAUAUAUAUUAUCAAGCCGUUACUGUUAUUUUCCUAGAUAAAUGGGCUAAUAGAAACUUUUAGUGUCCUAUUUAAUUUUUCUGUAAUGAACUGUUAUUAACUUUUCAUAAGAACGAUUUUUAAAAAUGAAAAGACUUCCUCUUGAUGGGCAUUUAACAAGAGAAACAAAAAGUGUUGCUGAGAAAUGAAGAGCAUUCAGGAACAGCAGGAACCAGUGGACGCUCACUUUUGCUGCUGAGAUACUAUCACCGAUGACUCAGACUGCUCCAGGCUCAUGAACUGCUCCUGAACUGCUUGUAGGACCUGCGUGGCCACGAGCCCUGGCUGCAAUGCCAGAGAUGCCCUCUCAUGUCUGCCUUUACUUCCACAUGUUGCCUUGUCCCAUCCCAUGCUCACGUCUCUCUGAUGCUUAAAAAGUGUGCUUUCGUGUAUUCAAUAAACGCUAGAAUUUGAGUUAUAUGCCAA